rnacentral:rRNA from 1 species
UAGGGAAUCUUGCGCAAUGGGCGAAAGCCUGACGCAGCCAUGCCGCGUGAAUGAUGAAGGUCUUAGGAUUGUAAAAUUCUUUCACCGGGGACGAUAAUGACGGUACCCGGAGAAGAAGCCCCGGCUAACUUCGUGCCAGCAGCCGCGGUAAUACGAAGGGGGCUAGCGUUGCUCGGAAUUACUGGGCGUAAAGGGAGCGUAGGCGGAUAGUUUAGUCAGAGGUGAAAGCCCAGGGCUCAACCUUGGAAUUGCCUUUGAUACUGGCUAUCUUGAGUAUGGAAGAGGUAUGUGGAACUCCGAGUGUAGAGGUGAAAUUCGUAGAUAUUCGGAAGAACACCAGUGGCGAAGGCGACAUACUGGUCCAUUACUGACGCUGAGGCUCGAAAGCGUGGGGAGCAAA